rnacentral:lncRNA from 1 species
AUGUGUGUGACCCCGCAGGUUCGAACCUAAGCCGGUAGCACAGGAACCAAUUUCUGUACUAAUCGAAGUGACCAUCUAGCAAUGGUACCCGAUGACCGGAUAGGUCGAAUAAUCACAAUCGUAAUAUUCAGAACCUACGUGAAUAUGGUUACCGUAUAAUUCAUCCCUUUUGACCCCUAUGUUUAGGACGACUCAAGGUUAAACUGUCAACCCUGAUGAUAUUAUCCGAAUCGUGCUCAACUCAAUUAGUCCUGUGACUCCUCACUAGGACUACCCUGGCCA